rnacentral:lncRNA from 1 species
AAAACAAGGAAGAAUUACAUUGUUAAAGACUGUCAUGGGGAAUACUGUCAGAGGCCAGGUUAAAGUCAAACAGGGCAUACUCUGGCAUUGUUUUUUCAUACCGAAUGCUUGACCUUACAGACACAUAAUUUAAAGAUCAGCACAUUAAAUUUAUGUAUAAGAAAAUACCGGAGUCAGAUACAGAACCAUCUACUUUCUAUUCGAUCACUUUUUUUUUUCUUUUUUUUUUUUUAAAUUCAGCUCAGGUUAUAAUCACUGAAAUAUGUUGAAACAUUGAUGAACUCCAUACGGCUUUGCUAUAUGUACAGAAAACAGCUUCAGCUGAAACUGUUUUCUACCCAAGAAGCAAAGAGCAGCUGGGAACUGCAGAGUGCUCUCACCUCCCAUUUGAAAGAUAGCUCUUUCUGAUGAAGAUCAAAAAGUUUUGAGGGAGAUAAAGAAUCCGGAGGAAAUGCCAGUGAAGAGGCAAAAUGGAGGAAGGGGGACAAUGAAGAUUCCAGUUCUUCUAUUACUGUACUUCAUGAUUUACAUGAAAACAGGUAUUGUGCAAUUUUUAAGUUAAUCACAUAUCCCCGUGCUUUGAUGAAGGAGGUGUUGAUGCUUCCUCAUCCACUCUGCUGGCCUCCAUCUUCUCUCAUCCCUGACUCCUCACUGGCCCACUUUCAGAGUCACUUUCUCCAAGCACUAUGUUGCAAAUACAGCACUUGUUGCCAGACACACUCAGAUCCAUAGCAUGCAGGAGCAGAUAUAAGGACGGGAGGCUUUCCCCCUAUCAGUCCCCUGCAUGUCUGCCCUUUAUCUGGGCCUAGUCAAACCCAGAGCAAACAUUGAUCUGUUAGUGCUGCUACACGGAGA